rnacentral:rRNA from 1 species
AACGAACGCUGGCGGCAUGCCUAACACAUGCAAGUCGAACGAGACCUUCGGGUCUAGUGGCGCACGGGUGCGUAACGCGGGGGAACCUGCCCUUAGGUUCGGAAUAACUCCCCGAAAGGGGUGCUAAUACCGGAUAAUGUCUUCGGACCAAAGAUUUAUCGCCUUUGGAUGGGCCCGCGUUGGAUUCGCUAGUUGGUAGGGUAAAAGCCUACCAAGGCGACGAUCCAUAGCUGGUCUGAGAGGAGGAUCAGCCACACUGGGACUGCGACACGGCCCAGACUCCUACGGGAGGCAGCAGUGGGGAAUAUUGGACAAUGGGCGAAAGCCUGAUCCAGCAAUGCCGCGUGAGUGAUGAAGGCCUUAGGGUUGUAAAGCUCUUUUACCCGGGAUGAUAAUGACAGUACCGGGAGAAUAAGCUCCGGCUAACUCCGUG